AGCGAUAACUAUUGACCAUUAUUGGUCACUAUUGACAGUUGACACAAUUAAAUGCAAACACAAAAUGUCUAUUUUGAAGACUCAUCAGUUAAUAAUUUGUACUUUACACCCAAAAGUCCAUCGUUAUUAAUACUUUAUAACUAAAAUACUUUGGGGAAGUAUAGCUUAUACCUAAAACCCCUAAAAGGACCUCAACUUUUAAUUUUUGAUGGGGCGGG